UAAAGCCCUACCUCUCCUCCCUCGAUCCCCCUAAAACCCUACCUCAACUCCCACCGCAGCUCGGGCCCUCGCCGAUCGCAUCUAGCCUCUGCCGCCGCAGUUCAUCGCCCGUUUUGACGCCGGGAGUAAACCGAGCUUCGUCGCCCAUCGCCGGAGCACGUCGGGCAAAGGAGUUUGACGAGCACAUUCUGCUCGUCUCCAUCGUCUUCAACUACCACCGAGACCACCCUCGAGCUCCCCCUUGCUCCGCCGUAUCGCCCCGACGCCACCGCCGUCCGCCCCGACGACCAUAGCCGCGGCACCGUAAUCGCCCGAGCCGUCGCCGUCAUCUUCGUCCGUCGCCGCUGUCGCUAUUUUUCGGAGUGCGAAGCUUGCUAUCACGAGUCGCUAGCGUUCGAAGACCGUUAGCCAGGCAAGUCAUUUGAUCAUGUUUUGCAAUACCUUUGAUUUGUUGCAUUAGAAUUAUUCCUCCCCACCAUGCAUGCAAUAGGAGAAUUUUAAGUUAUGUUCUUGAGUAGUAUCAUGUGGUAGGUUGAACCCAAUUCCCUUUACCAUUCCCCAGGACGAUGUAGUUUUAUUUUGCUAUGCUCAUAGACGGGGUUGGUUGAGCGAUUCAUAAGGGAGAUGUGAGAGUCAAGAUGAUGACAAUGGACUUCAAA